GGGUUGUGAGGUUAAGCGACUAAGCGUACACGGUGGAUGCCCUGGCAGUCAGAGGCGAUGAAGGACGUGCUAAUCUGCGAUAAGCGUCGGUAAGGUGAUAUGAACCGUUAUAACCGGCGAUUUCCGAAUGGGGAAACCCAGUGUGAUUCGUCACACUAUCAUUAACUGAAUCCAUAGGUUAAUGAGGCGAACCGGGGGAACUGAAACAUCUAAGUACCCCGAGGAAAAGAAAUCAACCGAGAUUCCCCCAGUAGCGGCGAGCGAACGGGGAGCAGCCCAGAGCCUGAAUCAGUGUGUGUGUUAGUGGAAGCGUCUGGAAAGGCGCGCGAUACAGGGUGACAGCCCCGUACACAAAAAUGCACAUACUGUGAGCUCGAUGAGUAGGGCGGGACACGUGGUAUCCUGUCUGAAUAUGGGGGGACCAUCCUCCAAGGCUAAAUACUCCUGACUGACCGAUAGUGAACCAGUACCGUGAGGGAAAGGCGAAAAGAACCCCGGCGAGGGGAGUGAAAAAGAACCUGAAACCGUGUACGUACAAGCAGUGGGAGCCUCUUUUAUGGGGUGACUGCGUACCUUUUGUAUAAUGGGUCAGCGACUUAUAUUCUGUAGCAAGGUUAACCGAAUAGGGGAGCCGAAGGGAAACCGAGUCUUAACCGGGCGUUAAGUUGCAGGGUAUAGACCCGAAACCCGGUGAUCUAGCCAUGGGCAGGUUGAAGGUUGGGUAACACUAACUGGAGGACCGAACCGACUAAUGUUGAAAAAUUAGCGGAUGACUUGUGGCUGGGGGUGAAAGGCCAAUCAAACCGGGAGAUAGCUGGUUCUCCCCGAAAGCUAUUUAGGUAGCGCCUCGUGAAUUCAUCUCCGGGGGUAGAGCACUGUUUCGGCAAGGGGGUCAUCCCGACUUACCAACCCGAUGCAAACUGCGAAUACCGGAGAAUGUUAUCACGGGAGACACACGGCGGGUGCUAACGUCCGUCGUGAAGAGGGAAACAACCCAGACCGCCAGCUAAGGUCCCAAAGUCAUGGUUAAGUGGGAAACGAUGUGGGAAGGCCCAGACAGCCAGGAUGUUGGCUUAGAAGCAGCCAUCAUUUAAAGAAAGCGUAAUAGCUCACUGGUCGAGUCGGCCUGCGCGGAAGAUGUAACGGGGCUAAACCAUGCACCGAAGCUGCGGCAGCGACACUGUGUGUUGUUGGGUAGGGGAGCGUUCUGUAAGCCUGUGAAGGUGUACUGUGAGGUAUGCUGGAGGUAUCAGAAGUGCGAAUGCUGACAUAAGUAACGAUAAAGCGGGUGAAAAGCCCGCUCGCCGGAAGACCAAGGGUUCCUGUCCAACGUUAAUCGGGGCAGGGUGAGUCGACCCCUAAGGCGAGGCCGAAAGGCGUAGUCGAUGGGAAACAGGUUAAUAUUCCUGUACUUGGUGUUACUGCGAAGGGGGGACGGAGAAGGCUAUGUUGGCCGGGCGACGGUUGUCCCGGUUUAAGCGUGUAGGCUGGUUUUCCAGGCAAAUCCGGAAAAUCAAGGCUGAGGCGUGAUGACGAGGCACUACGGUGCUGAAGCAACAAAUGCCCUGCUUCCAGGAAAAGCCUCUAAGCAUCAGGUAACAUCAAAUCGUACCCCAAACCGACACAGGUGGUCAGGUAGAGAAUACCAAGGCGCUUGAGAGAACUCGGGUGAAGGAACUAGGCAAAAUGGUGCCGUAACUUCGGGAGAAGGCACGCUGAUAUGUAGGUGAAGUCCCUCGCGGAUGGAGCUGAAAUCAGUCGAAGAUACCAGCUGGCUGCAACUGUUUAUUAAAAACACAGCACUGUGCAAACACGAAAGUGGACGUAUACGGUGUGACGCCUGCCCGGUGCCGGAAGGUUAAUUGAUGGGGUCAGCGCAAGCGAAGCUCUUGAUCGAAGCCCCGGUAAACGGCGGCCGUAACUAUAACGGUCCUAAGGUAGCGAAAUUCCUUGUCGGGUAAGUUCCGACCUGCACGAAUGGCGUAAUGAUGGCCAGGCUGUCUCCACCCGAGACUCAGUGAAAUUGAACUCGCUGUGAAGAUGCAGUGUACCCGCGGCAAGACGGAAAGACCCCGUGAACCUUUACUAUAGCUUGACACUGAACAUUGAGCCUUGAUGUGUAGGAUAGGUGGGAGGCUUUGAAGUGUGGACGCCAGUCUGCAUGGAGCCGACCUUGAAAUACCACCCUUUAAUGUUUGAUGUUCUAACGUGGACCCGUGAUCCGGGUUGCGGACAGUGUCUGGUGGGUAGUUUGACUGGGGCGGUCUCCUCCUAAAGAGUAACGGAGGAGCACGAAGGUUGGCUAAUCCUGGUCGGACAUCAGGAGGUUAGUGCAAUGGCAUAAGCCAGCUUGACUGCGAGCGUGACGGCGCGAGCAGGUGCGAAAGCAGGUCAUAGUGAUCCGGUGGUUCUGAAUGGAAGGGCCAUCGCUCAACGGAUAAAAGGUACUCCGGGGAUAACAGGCUGAUACCGCCCAAGAGUUCAUAUCGACGGCGGUGUUUGGCACCUCGAUGUCGGCUCAUCACAUCCUGGGGCUGAAGUAGGUCCCAAGGGUAUGGCUGUUCGCCAUUUAAAGUGGUACGCGAGCUGGGUUUAGAACGUCGUGAGACAGUUCGGUCCCUAUCUGCCGUGGGCGCUGGAGAACUGAGGGGGCUGCUCCUAGUACGAGAGGACCGGAGUGGACGCAUCACUGGUGUUCGGGUUGUCAUGCCAAUGGCACUGCCCGGUAGCUAAAUGCGGAAGAGAUAAGUGCUGAAAGCAUCUAAGCACGAAACUUGCCCCGAGAUGAGUUCUCCCUGACCCUUUAAGGGUCCUGAAGGAACGUUGAAGACGACGACGUUGAUAGGCCGGGUGUGUAAGCGCAGCGAUGCGUUGAGCUAACCGGUACUAAUGAACCGUGAGGCUUAACCUUACAACGCCGAAGGUGUUU
rnacentral:rRNA from 1 species